AAUAUUGGGACAUAUAAAAAGACAACUCUGUUCCGCAGAGUAGCUGUUGACAUUAUAGUUGCGCAGGCACUUUGACUCUAGAGAACCUUUGGCAAAUCGCACAUCCCCGUGCAUGUGGAUGUCAUCCAUAUCAACUUUCGAAGCCAGUUUCUGCGCCUUGGGUAACGGGGAAUCAGGGUUCCAUUCCGUACAUGGACCCUGAGAAAUGGCUACCACAUGCAAGGAAGGCAGCAGGCGCGCAAAUGACCCACUCCCGACGCGGGAUGGUAGUGA